UGGGGUGUCGCCAAGUGGUAAGGCACUGGAUUUUGAUUCCAGCAUUCGUAGGUUCGAUCCCUCCCACCCCAGCCA
rnacentral:tRNA from 2 species